ensembl:lncRNA
UGUAUUUCUUGCCCAAACUCCCUUUUACAGCACUUCUGAGAACAUAGGUCCCUUAGAGCAAGAUGCAAAUCAAUUGCUGUAUUUGAGUGGGAAGCCAUUGAUAUCUAUUUAGAGGGGCCUUGAGUUAGCUGAACAGAAACACUGAACACAGGCACGUUGCUGCAGGCUAAUCCCUUCCAUGAUGUGAGUGUGCUUGGUGCCUUCAAAUCCAAAACCCAAAUUCCUACUGGAAGGCAUUUUCAAUACUGUCACUUUGGAUUUGGACUUACAGACUCAGAUCUCCUUGUGGAAACCAUCUCAAAGUUUCCUGUCAAGAAUUGAGUAGUGUUGAUUCUUUUUCCUUACAAAAGAAAGAUGGUUCCAUCACCCAUUUUCUGUAUUAAAAUAUAAUAAUUCAGGGCACUUUGAAAAUAAAAGAAAAUUCAGUGCAGUCAGCAUACUGCAAGAUCUUUGUAUGGCAACUUGAACAACCAGCAAAAUCUUCUACUGGUUACAAUCAAGAUUAUAUGCAUCUAUCCUGAAGAUGUCCUCUAAUCUUAGUAGUCUCUUUGUUUUUAUGUCACCACAACUGGUGCUUUAAAGGCCAAUAAAGUUACUGGGAGAUGGUUCAGUGACUAAAAGCACUGUAGUUAUCUUACAAAAUGAAUCUGUAAAACGAACCUGAACUUUUCCAAAUACCCUAUUAAAACUGCUCUAUAGAUUAAAGGCUGUGUGAACCACUAUAAGGGAACAGUUACAUCAUGGCCUGGACUGAUGACUGAGCACCAGGUGAGCAGGAUGACUGGCCCAGGAAGCACAAGUGGAAGCAAUUCACCUGUUCUUACCACAUGACUGAAAGGAGUGGACUGACCUGUGAGUCUCACCAGUCUCACCUCGGGAAGAUCGUGGAACAGAUCCUCCUAGAAGCUAUGCUAAGGCACAUGGAAGGCAGGGAACUGAUAUAGAAGAACCAGCAUGGCUUCACCAGGGGCAAAUCCUGUUUAACCAAUCUGGUGGUCUUUUGUGAUAGUAUCAUUGCAUGAAUGGACAAGGGAAGGGCCAUUGAUAUCAUCUAUUUUGACUUUAAUAAGGCCUUUGACACAGUACCUCACAACACCCUUCUCUCCAUGUUAGAAAGAUAUGGAUUUGAUGGUUGGACUGUUUGAUGGAUGAAGAACUGGCUGCAGAAUCGAGUCCAGAGCAUGUCCACAGAAGAGCUACAGAAAUGAUCCAUGGAAUGGAACACCUUCCCUACGAGGACAGGCUUAGAGAGCUGGGGCUGUUCAGCCUGGAGAAGAGAAGGCUGCAAGGUGACCUGAUAGCAGCCUUUCAGUUUAUAAAGCUGAUAUCAAGCUAACUGCCUUAGAUGUAAUGGACUCUGCCAGCGGAUCAGAAAAUAAAAACAACGGAAGAGAAGAAAGAUGCCAAAUGUUUUUGAGGUUCUCUCCAGCAGUGAAAUGAAUGAUUUUAGUCAAAUGUGCAUUGUGGAUGCUGGAUGGAUACGGAUGUAUGAGUGAGUGGAGUACAAAAGGGAGAAGAACAGAACAGUACCAUUGCGCAAAGAAGAUCUCCUAGUAUUCUGGAAGAGUUAUAAGUAUGUGUGUGAAGGACAUUUGGGAACAAAACAACCUUGGUUACCAUUUUCACUCUCAUGCAGGCACUUGCAGAUGAGCAAGACUGAUGAGCAUGGAAACAGUGGUGAGCUAGAAUGACAAGGUGUUAAUAAACGUCUCAAAGUUUGCUCUUUAAAGGUCAGAAACUUUCUGACAUUAAAACAUUGAAGGACUGAAAAGUAGUGUAACACAUGCUAUAAAUCUUCUAGCAGAAGCCUUCAGAAAGCCAUAAAAAGAUCAGUGUUACAACAUACGUAUGAUUGAAUUUCAAUGAAUUAUAAUUUUAUAGCAGCUAUGACGUGAAAUCUCUUUCAUCUUCUGAAAGUGAAGGUUCAGAGUCAUACAGUAUGUUACAUUGUCUUGAUGUUUGUUUAGAAUUCAGAAUACAGCAAAGGAAAGCAGAAGAAAUAAAAGAGACUACUACAAGUUACGUGAGGAAACAGAACAACCAUUGUUUGAUUAUACAUACAUACUUAAUUGGAAUGAAAAAAUCCUCAACUUGUUUGUUGGUUCACAAUGCAGCAACAAAACUUUAAACAGAGGAAACUGUGUUCGAAAAGAAAACUCUGUAUC